UACGAAGGGGGCUAGCGUUGUUCGGAAUUACUGGGCGUAAAGCGCACGUAGGCGGAUACUUAAGUCAGGGGUGAAAUCCCCCGGGCUCAACCCGGGAACUGCGUCCGAUACUGGAAGGCUUGAAUCCGGGAGAGGGAUGUGGAAUUCCGAGGUGUAGCGGUGAAAUGCGUAGAUAUUGGGAAGAACACCGGUGGCGAAGGCGGCCAUCUGGACCGCAACUGACGCUGAGGCGCGAAAGCGAUGGGGGAGCAAACAGGGAUUA
rnacentral:rRNA from 1 species